CCUUUUAGGGAGACCGAAUCCACUCAAACAUCGAAAGCAAAUUGCAAUUAGAUAAUGAGUUGGUCAUUCCUAGGUCGUUCGAGAAUUGGUGAAAACUUUCAAAGUAUUUUUGGUUCAGUUCAUUCAUAAACAUUUAAAUCUUUAAUUGGAAUACAAAUUCAGCAAUUGAUUGUUUAGUACAAUCGAACUGCUGGGUGAUUAUCCAGCCAGAACCUUGAAAACUGCAUAGUAACGCGAAAAAAAGCAGGCAGUGAAAAAAGUCAAAAGUCAAAAGUCAAAAACUGGAAACUGAGACAAAAGACAAAAAACUGCAUGGAGAAACCAAUGUAAUGUUGUGGUCAAGCU
rnacentral:misc_RNA from 1 species